rnacentral:rRNA from 1 species
GACGAACGCUGGCGGCGUGCUUAACACAUGCAAGUCGAACGGAAAGGCUCCAGCUUGCUGGAGUACUCGAGUGGCGAACGGGUGAGUAACACGUGGGUAAUCUGCCCUGCACUAUGGGAUAAGCCUGGGAAACUGGGGCUAAUACUGGAUAUGACCUUUCUCCUUAUGGGGUUUGGUGGAAAGUUUUUCGGUGUAGGAUGAGCCCGCGGCCUAUCAGCUUGUUGGUGGGGUGAUGGCAUACCAAGGCGACGACGGGUAGCCGGCCUGGGGGGGUGAUCGGCCACAUUGGGACUGAGAUACGGCCCAGACUCCUACGGGAGGCAGCAGUGGGGAAUAUUGCACAAUGGGCGGAAGCCUGAUGCAGCGACGCCGCGUGAGGGAUGACGGCCUGCGGGUUGUAAACCUCUUGCAGCAGGGACGAAGCGUAAGUGACGGUACCUGCAGAAGAAGCACCGGCUAACUAUGUG